AAUACAGUGUAAGUAUAGAGAAUGCAUAAAUAAUGAGUUCUCAAGCGCUAUUUUAACUUUGUGUCAUUUCAAAAGUACGAUUUUAGUCCUUAUUUUAAAGAUGAAUUGUAUUUUUGACAUGUUGACCUAUAGAGUUAAUGAGACGUUAUUUUGUACAGACUAUACUUAUUUAAAAUUAUUUAGAAAUUCUUGUGUGUAAGCAUAAGAAAGUGAGCCAUCUCUGGCAUUUCUUUACCAUAAUUUAAACUUGCAUUCGUCUCUAAUACCGUUAGUUUUUAUAAGCUUUUAUAUCACUUUUAAACCCACAUUCUCUAUACAAUUUAAUACUUUUUACACAUUUUAACCUAGGUAAGAAAUCAAUAUUUUUCUAUAAUGUUACCUACUUACAGUUUUUUAAAUACUUAUCAAAUCACAUGCAUUUUAUUAUAUUGCAGUUAAUAUGUUAUAUUGUAAAGUUGAAUAACUGAUAAAAAUAAAGAUAAUUGGAAAC